AUUGAAUGUUGCUGAGUUUGCCCUUUGUUGCUUUAUAUUUCCUUGAGAAGGGCAGAAGUGCAGAGCAGAGGAUCCAAGCUGAAGGGGUCUCUGCCCAGGGGCUGCAGGCAGGAAAGGCAGUGAGAUCCAGACAAGUUACGUCGACCCGGCCCUGUGACGAUCUCUGGAGACCAUGACCAAGAAAAGAAUUGCCGUGAUUGGGGGAGGUGCGAGCGGCCUCGUGUCGAUCAAGUGCUGCCUGGAUGAAGGCUUGGAGCCGGUCUGCUUUGAAAGGACUGAUGACAUCGGAGGGCUCUGGAGGUUCCAGGAAAAUCCUGAAGAAGGAAGGGCCAGUAUCUACAAAUCAGUGAUCAUCAACACGUCCAAGGAGAUGAUGUGCUUCAGCGACUAUCC